rnacentral:tRNA from 1 species
GAGAGUGUAGCUCAGUGGUAGAGUGCAUGCUUAGCAUGCAUGAGGUCCUGGGUUCAGUCCCCAGUACCUCCA